UUCUUUCUUUUUUCUAACAGGGUUCAAGACAAACACUCAGUGGCAUGUCUGACCUGCAUACCAAAGUUCCUCCCAGAAAUAACUGUUGGGGCUCACGAAUUUGAUGAGAAAUACUUUUCCUACAAAUCGCUCCCUGGCAAGAAGUAUGCGGAAGGAUAUAACGCCGAUAUCGGAGACAAAAACAUCUGGCUGAAGUGAUGGACAUCUCCACACCUUGAUUCAUCCUGUCAUCCUCUGUUCUACAUCCUAAAUAUGUAUUAAAAUUAGUGGUUUAAAGAUCAAACAUACCUUCACCUGUC